rnacentral:rRNA from 1 species
AACGAACGCUGGCGGCAGGCCUAACACAUGCAAGUCGCGCGCCCCGCAAGGGGAGCGGCGGACGGGUGAGUAACACGUGGGAAUUUUCCUCAAGGUACGGAACAACUCAGGGAAACUUGGGCUAAUACCGUAUGAUGCAGAGAUGCCAAAGAUUUAUCGCCUUGGGAUAAGCCCGCGUCAGAUUAGGUAGUUGGUGGGGUAAUGGCCUACCAAGCCUGUGAUCUGUAGCUGGUCUGAGAGGACGAUCAGCCACAUUGGGACUGAGACACGGCCCAAACUCCUACGGGAGGCAGCAGUGGGGAAUCUUGCGCAAUGGACGAAAGUCUGACGCAGCCAUGCCGCGUGAAUGAUGAAGGUCUUAGGAUUGUAAAGUUCUUUAGCCUGUGACGAUGAUGACGGUAACAGGAGAAUAAGCCCCGGCUAACUUCGUG